CUAUCAUUGGAUCCUGCUUAAACAACCCAUUUGCUCUCCCCAGCUGCACCUCUCUCCUUGUCUCUCCAUCUGGGGGCUAUUUCAGAGUCCUCUGUUUCAAGUUCAACCCAACCAGUGAGAAUGUUACUGCUGCAGCUUCUUAUUGUGACUUCAACAUGGUAUUAUGGAUAUUCGCAAAUAACUCUGAUACAAACUCCACUGUCUGUCACCAGAGAGGAAACUAAAACUGCACGUAUGAGAUGUAAAAUUUCUGGAGGAGGUUUUAAUUUUAACAGUGCUUAUAUACACUGGUAUCGACAGAGCCCUGGGGCAGCUCCAAAGAGGAUUCUGUAUAUUGGAUCAGGAUCAGCUAUUAUGGAUGAAGGCUUUGAUAAAGAAAAGUUUAAAGCUAGUAAUGAUGUUUCUGUGUCCACCUCUAAUCUCAGAGUAGAAAAACUAACCCAAGAGGACGCUGCUAUCUAUUAUUGUGCCACCUGGGAUAUCACCUACUACAAAGUAUUUGGCUCUGGUACUAAGCUCAUAGUAACAGGUGAGACAUAUGCUAAUUACAGUAAUGCAAAGAUAAAGAUGCUUAUUGUGAUCAUAGAAAAGCUUUUUAUCACAGAAUACUCCAAACAUCCAGUGCAAUCUAUUGGAGUUUGGAGUGUCCAAGGAACACAUGAUCAAGCAUUUGCCAUUUUGUAA